UUAAGCGACUAAGCGUACACGGUGGAUGCCCUGGCAGUCAGAGGCGAUGAAGGACGUGCUAAUCUGCGAAAAGCGUCGGUAAGGUGAUAUGAACCGUUAUAACCGGCGAUGUCCGAAUGGGGAAACCCAGUGCAAUUCGUUGCACUAUCGUUAACUGAAUACAUAGGUUAACGAGGCGAACCGGGGGAACUGAAACAUCUAAGUACCCCGAGGAAAAGAAAUCAACCGAGAUUCCCCCAGUAGCGGCGAGCGAACGGGGAGCAGCCCAGAGUCUGAAUCAGCUUGUGUGUUAGUGGAACGGUCUGGAAAGUCCGACGGUACAGGGUGAUAGUCCCGUACACCAAAAUGCACAGGCUGUGAACUCGAAGAGUAGGGCGGGACACGUGGUAUCCUGUCUGAAUAUGGGGGGACCAUCCUCCAAGGCUAAAUACUCCUGACUGACCGAUAGUGAACCAGUACCGUGAGGGAAAGGCGAAAAGAACCCCGGCGAGGGGAGUGAAAAAGAACCUGAAACCGUGUACGUACAAGCAGUGGGAGCACCUUCGGGUGUGACUGCGUACCUUUUGUAUAAUGGGUCAGCGACUUAUAUUCUGUAGCAAGGUUAACCGUAUAGGGGAGCCGCAGGGAAACCGAGUCUUAACUGGGCGUUAAGUUGCAGGGUAUAGACCCGAAACCCGGUGAUCUAGCCAUGGGCAGGUUGAAGGUUGGGUAACACUAACUGGAGGACCGAACCGACUAAUGUUGAAAAAUUAGCGGAUGACUUGUGGCUGGGGGUGAAAGGCCAAUCAAACCGGGAGAUAGCUGGUUCUCCCCGAAAGCUAUUUAGGUAGCGCCUCGUGAAUUCAUCUUCGGGGGUAGAGCACUGUUUCGGCUAGGGGGUCAUCCCGACUUACCAACCCGAUGCAAACUACGAAUACCGAAGAAUGUUAUCACGGGAGACACACGGCGGGUGCUAACGUCCGUCGUGAAGAGGGAAACAACCCAGACCGCCAGCUAAGGUCCCAAAGUCAUGGUUAAGUGGGAAACGAUGUGGGAAGGCACAGACAGCCAGGAUGUUGGCUUAGAAGCAGCCAUCAUUUAAAGAAAGCGUAAUAGCUCACUGGUCGAGUCGGCCUGCGCGGAAGAUGUAACGGGGCUAAACCAUGCACCGAAGCUGCGGCAGCGACACUAUGUGUUGUUGGGUAGGGGAGCGUUCUGUAAGCCUGCGAAGGUGNUGCUGGAGGUAUCAGAAGUGCGAAUGCUGACAUAAGUAACGAUAAAGCGGGUGAAAAGCCCGCUCGCCGGAAGACCAAGGGUUCCUGUCCAACGUUAAUCGGGGCAGGGUGAGUCGACCCCUAAGGCGAGGCCGAAAGGCGUAGUCGAUGGGAAACAGGUUAAUAUUCCUGUACUUGGUGUUACUGCGAAGGGGGGACGGAGAAGGCUAUGUUAGCCGGGCGACGGUUGUCCCGGUUUAAGCAUGUAGGCUGAUUGUCCAGGCAAAUCCGGAUAAUCAAGGCUGAGGUGUGAUGACGAGGCACUACGGUGCUGAAGUAACAAAUGCCCUGCUUCCAGGAAAAGCCUCUAAGCAUCAGGUAACAUCAAAUCGUACCCCAAACCGACACAGGUGGUCAGGUAGAGAAUACCAAGGCGCUUGAGAGAACUCGGGUGAAGGAACUAGGCAAAAUGGUGCCGUAACUUCGGGAGAAGGCACGCUGGUGUGUAGGUGAAGUCCCUGCGGAUGGAGCUGAGACCAGUCGAAGAUACCAGCUGGCUGCAACUGUUUAUUAAAAACACAGCACUGUGCAAACACGAAAGUGGACGUAUACGGUGUGACGCCUGCCCGGUGCCGGAAGGUUAAUUGAUGGGGUUAUCCGUAAGGAGAAGCUCUUGAUCGAAGCCCCGGUAAACGGCGGCCGUAACUAUAACGGUCCUAAGGUAGCGAAAUUCCUUGUCGGGUAAGUUCCGACCUGCACGAAUGGCGUAAUGAUGGCCAGGCUGUCUCCACCCGAGACUCAGUGAAAUUGAACUCGCUGUGAAGAUGCAGUGUACCCGCGGCAAGACGGAAAGACCCCGUGAACCUUUACUAUAGCUUGACACUGAACAUUGAGCCUUGAUGUGUAGGAUAGGUGGGAGGCUUUGAAGCGUGGACGCCAGUCUGCGUGGAGCCAACCUUGAAAUACCACCCUUUAAUGUUUGAUGUUCUAACGUUGGCCCCUUACCGGGGUUGCGGACAGUGUCUGGUGGGUAGUUUGACUGGGGCGGUCUCCUCCCAAAGCGUAACGGAGGAGCACGAAGGUUAGCUAAUCCUGGUCGGACAUCAGGAGGUUAGUGCAAUGGCAUAAGCUAGCUUGACUGCGAGCGUGACGGCGCGAGCAGGUGCGAAAGCAGGUCAUAGUGAUCCGGUGGUUCUGAAUGGAAGGGCCAUCGCUCAACGGAUAAAAGGUACUCCGGGGAUAACAGGCUGAUACCGCCCAAGAGUUCAUAUCGACGGCGGUGUUUGGCACCUCGAUGUCGGCUCAUCACAUCCUGGGGCUGAAGUAGGUCCCAAGGGUAUGGCUGUUCGCCAUUUAAAGUGGUACGCGAGCUGGGUUUAGAACGUCGUGAGACAGUUCGGUCCCUAUCUGCCGUGGGCGCUGGAGAAUUGAGGGGGGCUGCUCCUAGUACGAGAGGACCGGAGUGGACGCAUCACUGGUGUUCGGGUUGUCAUGCCAAUGGCACUGCCCGGUAGCUAAAUGCGGAAGAGAUAAGUGCUGAAAGCAUCUAAGCACGAAACUUGCCCCGAGAUGAGUUCUCCCUGAGACUUUAAGUCUCCUGAAGGAACGUUGAAGACGACGACGUUGAUAGGCCGGGUGUGUAAGCGCAGCGAUGCGUUGAGCUAACCGGUACUAAUGAACCGUGAGGCUUAACCUU
rnacentral:rRNA from 1 species